rnacentral:rRNA from 1 species
CAGCACCUCAAGUGGUCAGGAUGAUUAUUGGGCCUAAAGCAUCCGUAGCCGGCGCUGUAAGUUUUCGGUUAAAUCUGUACGCUCAACGUACAGGCUGCCGGGAAUACUGCAAAGCUAGGGAGUGGGAGAGGUAGACGGUACUCGGUAGGAAGGGGUAAAAUCCUUUGAUCUAUUGAUGACCACCUGUGGCGAAGGCGGUCUACCAGAACACGUCCGACGGUGAGGGAUGAAAGCUGGGGGAGCAAUCCGGAUUAGAUACCCGAGUAGUCC